UACGAAGGGGGCUAGCGUUGCUCGGAAUCACUGGGCGUAAAGCGCACGUAGGCGGCUUGUUAAGUCAGGGGUGAAAUCCUGGAGCUCAACUCCAGAACUGCCUUUGAUACUGGCGAGCUUGAGUUCGGGAGAGGUGAGUGGAACUGCGAGUGUAGAGGUGAAAUUCGUAGAUAUUCGCAAGAACACCAGUGGCGAAGGCGGCUCACUGGCCCGAUACUGACGCUGAGGUGCGAAAGCGUGGUGAGCAAACAGG
rnacentral:rRNA from 1 species